rnacentral:ncRNA from 2 species
UACAGAGGUCCCAAGCGUUGUUCGGAUUCACUGGGCGUAAAGGGUGCGUAGGUGGCGAGGUAAGUCGGAUGUGAAAGCUCGGAGCUCAACUCCGAAAUGGCAUUGGAAACUACCUUGCUCGAGGGUUGGAGGGGGGACUGGAAUACUUGGUGUAGCAGUGAAAUGCGUAGAUAUCAAGUGGAACACCAGUGGCGAAGGCGAGUCCCUGGACAACUCCUGACACUGAGGCACGAAAGCUAGGGGAGCAAACAGG